GAUGAACGCUGGCGGCGUGCCUAAUACAUGCAAGUCGAGCGAACAGACGAGGAGCUUGCUCCUCUGACGUUAGCGGCGGACGGGUGAGUAACACGUGGAUAACCUACCUAUAAGACUGGGAUAACUUCGGGAAACCGGAGCUAAUACCGGAUAAUAUAUUGAACCGCAUGGUUCAAUAGUGAAAGACGGUUUUGCUGUCACUUAUAGAUGGAUCCGCGCCGCAUUAGCUAGUUGGUAAGGUAACGGCUUACCAAGGUAACGAUGCGUAGCCGACCUGAGAGGGUGAUCGGCCACACUGGAACUGAGACACGGUCCAGACUCCGACGGGAGGCAGCAGUAGGGAAUCUUCCGCAGUGGUCGAAAGCCUGACGGAGCAACGCCGCGUGAGUGAUGAAGGUCUUCGGAUCGUAAAACGCUGUUAUUAGGGAAGAACAAAUGUGUAAGUAACUAUGCACGUCUUGACGGUACCGAAUCAGAAAGCCACGGCUAACUACGU
rnacentral:rRNA from 1 species